AAUUCCUAGCUCUGCCACUGUUGAAAUGGUUUGGGAGCUCCAAGAAUUCCAGGACUUGAGUUAUAUGAUGGAGAUUGAAAUCUUGGACCAUUGUUGUACUGAAAUCUAUCUCUUCCUUUUCCUUUAUAAUUUGACCCUUUAUAUCCACCUGAAUUACCACCAUUGGAUUACCAGAUGAACCAUAUUGCGAAGAUGACCCCUGACUAGAAUUGUAUCCAUUAAAACUAGAUCUGCCAUUAAAAUUGUACCCUUGGCUUGAAGAUCUUGUAUCAGAGUGAAAACCUUGAGACUGAGUUGGGUUUUGUUAAAGACUGAAAGCUUUGCCUUUGUCUGAUUAAGUACAUGCAACCAUUGUAGUUCCAAAGUUCACAGUAGACUAAAAAAAUUGGCCAAUUAUGGCUUCUUCAGCAAGAAGCUAUGAUCUGAAAUCUUUCAAAGAAAUUCCAUUUUUCUUCCUCUGAUAACACAGCAAAAUGUAUUGUACUCAGAGAUAACCCUUUUAGAGCUAGAAUGAUUAUAUCAUUUUCAAAGAUGACACCAGCUGCAACAAGAUGAUCUCUUGCAUCUUUAAUAUUCUAUAAGUAAACAAAUACUGAAUCAGACCCAUUUUGAAUGUUUUGUAGCUCUGUUUUCUUCUGGAAGAUUGUAGCUUUAGUUUUUGUAGAAAACAUUUCCUUUAGACUAAUCCACAUAUUAUAUGAACUAGCACUUCCAAGAAUGCAGGAGAUGUCAGUAGAUGACAGUGUGGCUAUGAGAAACUGCAUAAGAGCACGAUCAUGCAUUUUCUAAACUUGAUAGGCAUUUGUUUCAACCCCUUUAAGAUUUGCCUCAUCAAGAAACCUUUGUGGACAUUUCUUGGACUCAACAACGAACCAAGAAUGCCAUGACUUUUAAGCAGAAGUUUGAUCUGAAAACUCCAUACAAGUAACCAUUGUUGAAGUAAAAAGCUUUUGUCACUGGAGACUUGUAUCGAACAAUUGAUGCUCAGAAAACGAAAGAUUGAUUAUCUUCCAAAUUGGGAUUUUGAUCCAAAAAACUCACAAAAGCAACAAAUUAGAGGGUUGAGAAGAGAAAUGUAUGUAUCAAAGAUUGUGCGGAAGCAUUGGAUCUACCAUUGGCGAGCAUACCAUGUUAAGAUUGCAGAAAUAUUGAAGAAAUUGUAGAAAGAAUGCAAAGAGAAAGAGAGAGAAAUUUGAGCUAAGAGAAGAGAGUGUUUUCUUAUUUCUUAACAAUGAAGUAAUCUUCUUAUACAAUCUGUUAUAUGACUAAUUAAAGCUUCUUAUGACAGUUAA